rnacentral:rRNA from 1 species
UACGUAGGGGGCAAGCGUUGUCCGGAUUUACUGGGCGUAAAGAGCGUGUAGGCGGCCAAGCAGGUCCGUUGUGAAAACUGGAGGCUUAACCUCCAGACGUCGACGGAAACCGCGUGGCUAGAGUCCGGAAGAGGAGAGUGGAAUUCCUGGUGUAGCGGUGAAGUGCGCAGAUAUCAGGAAGAACACCCGUGGCUAAGGCGGCUCUCUAGUACGGUACUGACGCUGAGACGCGAAAGCGUGGGGAGCGAACAGG